rnacentral:rRNA from 1 species
AGUGAACGCUGGCGGUAGGCCUAACACAUGCAAGUCGAACGGCAGCACAGUAAGAGCUUGCUCUUACGGGUGGCGAGUGGCGGACGGGUGAGGAAUACAUCGGAAUCUACUUUUUCGUGGGGGAUAACGUAGGGAAACUUACGCUAAUACCGCAUACGACCUACGGGUGAAAGCAGGGGAUCUUCGGACCUUGUGCGAUUGAAUGAGCCGAUGUCGGAUUAGCUAGUUGGCGGGGUAAAGGCCCACCAAGGCGACGAUCCGUAGCUGGUCUGAGAGGAUGAUCAGCCACACUGGAACUGAGACACGGUCCAGACUCCUACGGGAGGCAGCAGUGGGGAAUAUUGGACAAUGGGCGCAAGCCUGAUCCAGCCAUACCGCGUGGGUGAAGAAGGCCUUCGGGUUGUAAAGCCCUUUUGUUGGGAAAGAAAAGCAGCAGGUUAAUACCCCGCUGUUCUGACGGUACCCAAAGAAUACGCACCGGCUAACUUCGUG